rnacentral:lncRNA from 1 species
CUCACAUUAAAAGAAGAAAAAGAGCAGCGGGUGGCUUUGAAAGCCAUCUGCAGUGAAGGAUCCCUUAGCAAAGCUGUCCCUCAACACCUCCAUGCCAGUGCUUCUUCACAUUAAGACUCCAAGAAUGACCGUUUCCCGCGGGAAAGAGAGCAGCCGAACGCCAAACAUCAGCACAAACAGAAGGUGUUGGAGAGACUCCUUAGGAUCCGGAGACGGAGAAACGACUGGGUGUUGAAAGAAACGCCCUAGAAACGGAACCGGGCGGUGAAAUAUCUAAGAGGGCCUCUGAGGUAGCUGGUUAAAAUGCAGCCGCUGCACAGCCAAAGCCGGAACUGUCAGGGAACUGAAGCCCCCUGGCCCUGAACCAAAUCCCGGCACAGGAAAGCCAGGCUGUUUCUUACAGGAAACCCCAUCCAGCGAAUGCCCACUGCUGCCAGUGCCUGUGCGCACCCCGGAGACGCAUCAGACAACCAGCAAAACCAGGCCCAUUGGACUUCACAGAUCUCUCCUGGUGCAGCCGGUUCGGAACCUUGUGGAGUUGGCUGCCUGCCCGGUGCGGAUGGAUCACUUGGGUCUGGGUCUGGGGUCUGGGGUCUGGGGUCUGGGUCUGUCUGGGUCUGGGUUGGUUGGUUGCCUCCACACUUGGACAUUUCUGGUGCAGGAGUUCAUGAGCUCACAGGUACAGUCCCUGAAAACUACAUUGCCAAGGGUUAUAACAGAUCAGAAAACGUAAUUUCCCGCCCCCC